rnacentral:rRNA from 1 species
UACGAAGGGGGCUAGCGUUGCUCGGAAUCACUGGGCGUAAAGCGCACGUAGGCGGACUCUUAAGUCAGGGGUGAAAUCCUGGAGCUCAACUCCAGAACUGCCUUUGAUACUGAGAGCCUUGAGUUCGGGAGAGGUGAGUGGAACUGCGAGUGUAGAGGUGAAAAUUCGUAGAUAUUCGCAAGAACACCAGUGGCGAAGGCGGCUCACUGGCCCGAUACUGACGCUGAGGUGCGAAAGCGUGGGGAGCAAACAGG